UGGAAAAGGAUGUGGGAUUUCGAAGACAGCUAGGAUGUUGGCUUAGAAGCAGCCACACAUUCAAAGAGUGCGUAAUAGCUCACUAGUCGAGAGGUCUUGCGCCGAAAAUGUCCGGGGCUAAAACACAACACCGAAGCUUAGGAAUGUAGCAAUACAUUGGUAGAGGAGCAUUUUUAUAGGCGUAGAAGCUGUACCGAUAAGGAGCAGUGGAGUAAUAAAAAGAGAGAAUGCCGGAAUGAGUAGCGAGAUGAAGGUGAGAAUCCUUCAGGCCGAAUAUCUAAGGUUUCCAGAGUAAAGCUGAUCUGCUCUGGGUAAGUCGGGGCCUAAGGCAAGGUCGAAAGACGUAGUCGAUGGACAACAGGUUUAGAUUCCUGUACCGCUUAUUAUCAGAAAUGUGGGGACACAGAGACGUAUCCAAACCCAGGAAUGCAAAGACUGGGGCAAGCCAAGUACUGGUAUGGCAGGAAAAUCCGCCAUGCAACAGGAAUAGGUGAUGCGGACCGAAAUCAAGUAGGGAAGUUGGAGAAGGAGCUGUCAAGAAAAGCCGCUAUUGUGUAAUAAGUGCCCGUACCGUAAACCGACACAGGUGGAUGAGGAGAGAAUCCUAAGGCCGGCGGGAGAAGCAUUGUUAAGGAACUCGGCAAAAUGACCCCGUAACUUCGGGAGAAGGGGUGCCAUCCUCCGGGAUGGCCACAGAAAAUAGGCUCAAGCAACUGUUUAGCAAAAACACAGGUCUAUGCGAAACCGAAAGGUGAGGUAUAUGGGCUGACGCCUGCCCGGUGCUGGAAGGUUAAGAGGAGAAGUCAGGCAACGAAGCUUUGAAUUGAAGCCCCAGUAAACGGCGGCCGUAACUAUAACGGUCCUAAGGUAGCGAAAUUCCUUGUCGGGUAAGUUCCGACCCGCACGAAAGGCGUAAUGAUUUGAGCGCUGUCUCAACAAUGCACCCGGUGAAAUUGAAGUACCAGUGAAGAUGCUGGUUACCUGCGCCAGGACGGAAAGACCCCAUGGAGCUUUACUCUAGUUUGAUACUGGGAUUCGAUUAUACCUGUACAGGAUAGGUGGGAGGCGAAGAAGCAAGGACGCCAGUCUUUGCAGAGCCGCUGUUGGGAUACCACCCUUGUAUGAUUGGAUUUCUAACCUGCGCCCGUGAUCCGGGUGGGGGACACUGUCAGAUGGGGAGUUUGACUGGGGCGGUCGCCUCCGAAAGGGUAUCGGAGGCGCUCAAAGGUUCCCUCAGAAUGGUCGGAAACCAUUCAAAGAGUGCAAAGGCAGAAGGGAGCUUGACUGCGACACCGACGGGUGGAGCAGGUACGAAAG
rnacentral:rRNA from 1 species